UACGUAUGGUGCAAGCGUUAUCCGGAUUUACUGGGUGUAAAGGGAGCGCAGGCGGCAUGGCAAGCCAGAUGUGAAAUACCGGGGCUCAACCCCGGGACUGCAUUUGGAACUGUUAAGCUGGAGUGUCGGAGAGGCAGGCGGAAUUCCUAGUGUAGCGGUGAAAUGCGUAGAUAUUAGGAGGAACACCAGUGGCGAAGGCGGCCUGCUGGACGAUAACUGACGUUGAGGCUCGAAAGCGUGGGGAGCAAACAGG
rnacentral:rRNA from 1 species